GACGAACGCUGGCGGCGUGCUUAACACAUGCAAGUCGAACGGAAAGACCCUGCUUUUGUGGGGUGCUCGAGUGGCGAACGGGUGAGUAACACGUGAGUAACCUGCCCUUGACUUUGGGAUAACUUCAGGAAACUGGGGCUAAUACCGGAUAGGAGCUCCUGCUGCAUGGUGGGGGUUGGAAAGUUUCGGCGGUUGGGGAUGGACUCGCGGCUUAUCAGCUUGUUGGUGGGGUAGUGGCUUACCAAGGCUUUGACGGGUAGCCGGCCUGAGAGGGUGACCGGCCACAUUGGGGCUGAGAUACGGCCCAGACUCCUACGGGAGGCAGCAGUGGGGAAUAUUGCACAAUGGGCGGAAGCCUGAUGCAGCAACGCCGCGUGCGGGAUGACGGCCUUCGGGUUGUAAACCGCUUUCGCCUGUGACGAAGCGUGAGUGACGGUAAUGGGUAAAGAAGCACCGGCUAACUACGUG
rnacentral:rRNA from 1 species